UAUUUUCAGUGUUGGAGAUGCAAAUUAGGGGCUGAAAAGAAUGUGAAGCACGAAGAACAUGGAGAGAGAGUUGUAAGAAAUAAUAUUGGUAGAGACCUUCUUUCAACCCUUUAAAGGCCCCAUAGAGCGCUGGCUAUUCUCCUUCUUCCUUGACAGGAAAUUGAAGUGGAAGGAUGACUCCUGAUCUACAUGGAAAGAAAGCAAUUAUUUGGAUGUUCUAGAGAAAAAUAAAAACCUCAAACUUCCUUAUUGGCUGAGAUGAGACACAGAACAUUUGUCAAUUCAUGCUGUUUCAAAAGCAAUAUUCAUUGGAGCCUGUCUGCACAUCUCUAGUAGCUUUAAUGUUCACAGAAAAUGAAUGUUCAUGCUUGUUUGCGAUCUCAAACUAUUAUUAAAGAACUAAAGCAGAGAACUAAAGUAGAUUAUUUUUCCAUGGCAAACCUAAGGAAAAGUGUUUCGAUGAUUACCAAUGAUUACCACAGUGUUUCUAUGAUUACCAUUGCUGAGAUUAUUCUUUAACAAGGAAAAAUAAUUUUCUCCUAGAGCUCAUUUGCUGAUUCCAUAAAUUAGCUGUUACAAAGAAUCCAUAUCAGAGAAAUUCAAACCUAGGAAGAGGCUUUUCUUACACUAUCAGAAAGGCACAUUAAAUACACAACGUUGGCCACAUUAUUUUUGAUAAUGAUGGAAAACAACAGCUGAUAGCCAGUUUGGGACAAAUGCCAACUGUUCCCAUUUGUCUGAAAAAAUGUCAAAAUUAAUUGCAACAACACUUUGUUUUGAAAGAAUAUUGUUAUCCAUCGAGAAAGUAUAUCAACUAAAAUCCUAAAAAACAGACUAAAGAUAAUGGUGCCUCUCUGAUUUGAAAUAUUAGUUUAAAAAAAUUUUAGUGUCCCAAAGUAUAAGUAAACACAUCUCAACAGCUUUACAUAGUUUCAUAUAUUUUAUUUUUUAAACACUUAUAAUUUUGCAAGCUAGCAGUAAAAUAUUGUCCUUGAUAUUUUACUAAUUAGCACCGUAUACCUUUUAAAGCUAACUGGAACAUUGUUUCAAAUGUAAAUGAUUGUAAAGUAGAAUGAUCAUUUCAAAUGCCAAAUUAGUCUCAAGUAACAUAAGAACCAUUAAUUAUCAUUAUUUUUGGCUUUAUGCACAAAGAUGUAUUUCAAAGAUGAACUUAAUUAUUAGUAUCAGUUCUGCCAAUCUAGCAAAUCAAAGUACCACAGUUUAAAGCAAUAUUUAACCUCUGAAAUUAUAUAAUUAAAGAGGUACAUAAGAAAAGUUGAGAAAUCAGCUAUAAAAACACAAGAGACUGCACAACUUUAGAUAUAGUACCUUAUUUUUUAGAACGAGGAAAAUAAUGAAAAAUUUCAUGGUACAAGUAUCAGUUACACAUAUGGUUUAGUAUAUGUCAGUAUUCUCAUGCUCUACUUAUAUGAGUUUGGCCUUACCAAAAAGCCAUCAAAACGUCCAGAAUAAUUCACAGGGACAGCUGGAAGCCUGAAAUAAAAUUGCUCAGUGCAAAAGAUCCCAAGCCAUUCAUAUAAUUUUAAAUGGAAACCUAGACAUUUACCUUCUAUUUUUGUUUUCAUCUGAAAAACCUUUUGAAAACAUGGGAAAAAAACCUAAUUAAACUCAAAUUACUUCCAGACAUUAGAAAAAGAAGGGAUUUUUCAGUUCCCGUUUUCUAAUAAGAGCAUUCUUCAGAGCUAUGGGGUUAAAUUCUAAGCUACAAUCCACUGCUUACUAGCAUGCCUGUUUUGCAUACCAGCAGAAUCAAGUCCAGUUUUGCCAUUUGUGGGUAACUAUGACAAGAUACAAAAGCAUGUGUUUGCCAUAAAUAGCUCUGGCUAACAGCAAACUGCUCACACUGAACAGAUCAAAUUCUCUAUAAGGAGAGCCGCCUGGACCACAGCCAAAUUCCACUACUAAUCUUUAAGACUGCUAUAUAAACUUUUUUUUUUUUAAUUUGUGAAAUAUAUUAAGAAAUAGUAGCUGAAAUUAAAGUUCCUAAACAGGAGAAGUACUAUUAAACUUUUGAAGGACAACAUUUUAUAAAUUA